rnacentral:rRNA from 1 species
GAUGAACGCUGGCGGCGUGCCUAAUACAUGCAAGUCGAGCGAACAGAUAAGGAGCUUGCUCCUUUGACGUUAGCGGCGGACGGGUGAGUAACACGUGGGUAACCCACCUAUAAGACUGGGAUAACUUCGGGAAACCGGAGCUAAUACCGGAUAAUAUUUCGAACCGCAUGGUUCGAUAGUGAAAGAUGGUUUUGCUAUCACUUAUAGAUGGACCCGCGCCGUAUUAGCUAGUUGGUAAGGUAACGGCUUACCAAGGCGACGAUACGUAGCCGACCUGAGAGGGUGAUCGGCCACACUGGAACUGAGACACGGUCCAGACUCCUACGGGAGGCAGCAGUAGGGAAUCUUCCGCAAUGGGCGAAAGCCUGACGGAGCAACGCCGCGUGAGUGAUGAAGGUCUUCGGAUCGUAAAACUCUGUUAUUAGGGAAGAACAUACGUGUAAGUAACUGUGCACGUCUUGACGGUACCUAAUCAGAAAGCCACGGCUAACUACGUG